rnacentral:misc_RNA from 1 species
UCACUUUUAACUUCAACUUCAACUGUUACAACAAGUACUUCUGAAGUAUUAUUUACUUUAAGUCUGUAAUUAAGACAAAUAUCAAUAAUUAAAUCUAGAAUAAUUAAAGAUAACAUUUGUGACACAAACCUAAUGUAUGCAGUAUGAUUUUUUUCUGUGUAAGCAUUAAAAUGUAAUCUUAUGAUAGGCUUUGUCUGAUAUGGUGGAAUUUCCCAUAGUUCACGUGAACCUUCUGCUUCUCCUGAUGGUAAUUCUAGUUGAAAUUCUCCACCACUACUAUAUACCUCUAAUACCUUAUUCUUGUAAAGCUUCUGAGUGUGGAUUGUGCAUGUAUAUAAGUGGAGUAAAUGUUGCAUUUAAAGGUAAUUUAACAUCCACUACAGGUCUGAGUCGAUAUGGACUACUGACACUUAUUCCUUUCAC